rnacentral:rRNA from 1 species
UGAUCUACGGGAGUCAGCAGUGGGGAACAUUGCACAAUGGGGGAAACCCUGAUGCAGCAACGCCGCGUGAGUGUAGAAGUCAUUCGUGAUGUAAAGCUCUAUCAGCAGGGAAGAAAAUGACGGUACCUGAGUAAGAAGCCCCGGCUAACUACGUGCCAGCAGACGCGGUAAUACGUAGGGGGCAAGCGUUAUCCGGAUUUACUGGGUGUAAAGGGAGCGUAGACGGCAAGGCAAGUCUGAAGUGAAAAUCCAGCGCUUAACGUUGGAAGUGCGUUGGAAACUGCCGGGCUAGAGCGC